CAGAUAAAAGAUGUUACUUCAGCUAAGUGUUUUUACCUGUCACCUGUCCUGGGAACGCAACACUGUUUACAAUGCUCUUCAUACUGGAAAUAAGAAUGCAGUGCCAUGGACUACUUGAACUGCUGCAUCGUGCUCGCUGACUGAUUGUUCAUGAAACAAGUGGUUGGAAUGUAGGAAGAUUAUCUACUGAGGAAUUGGAAGAAAUUUAAAUUUGAAGUUGUCUGGAAGAUUUGCAACUUGACGGAGGUAGUGUCCAGGAGACAAGAGCAAGAAGAUAGCUAGUAAUAAAUUUAUGGACAACCUUACAAGGGGAGUUUACAGAAAACUAACUUUGGAAGAAACUUGAGACUUCCUUAGUAUCUCAAUUCUCAAGAGCCACACAAGUUUUUCGAUGUUUUACCAAAACUUUGCCAUUCUUAGAGGGGUUUCAGAAUAAUGGUCUGAGAUUUAAGUAUACUGCAUAAUGCUAGUUUUUGUCAAGUUAAUCAAAAAGGUAUUGCUUUACAUUGGUGUAUAGUUUACCAGGCGUGUUUUUUUUUUUCCACUGCUUCUAGAUAUAGAAUUCAUAGGUAUGAUGUUGAAGUCAGUUAUGUUGUAGAAUUCAUAUAGCUCAUAUGAGGAAGCAAGAAGGAAUCAGGCUGCAGUUAAUUUUAGGUGGGUUUAGAACUUGACAGGUCUACGUACAAAGCUAGUGUGAUUUUCAACAAAUUUCUUCAUAUAUGGACUUAUAGUAUUGCUACGAAUAACUAGAUUCCGGGAGACAGGAAUGUAACUUUGCGAUUGUAUUAAUCAGUCUUGACGGAGGUUUGCAGUCUCCAAAUACUGUUUAGCUGCGAUUUUCGUGGUUUAAAACCAUUAACGCAAAUACUUGCCAAAGAACGUUUUUAUAUAUAUAUAUAUAAUUCCCUUUCUCCAGGCCAGUAAGGGCCUUUUGUAAAUAAAUAGC